rnacentral:rRNA from 1 species
CGUAGGGCCAAGCGUUGUUCGGAUUUACUGGGCGUAAAGGGCGCGUAGGCGGCUUGACAAGUCACUUGUGAAAUCUCCGGGCUUAACUCGGAACGGCCAAGUGAAACUGUCAUGCUAGAGUGCAGAAGGGGCAAUCGGAAUUCUUGGUGUAGCGGUGAAAUGCGUAGAUAUCAAGAGGAACACCUGAGGUGAAGACGGGUUGCUGGGCUGACACUGACGCUGAGGCGCGAAAGCCAGGGGAGCAAACGGGAUUAGAUACCCCGGUAGUCCUGGCCCUAAACGAUGAAUACUUGGUGUCUGGAGUUAUUAGUGCUCCGGGUGCCGUCGCUAACGUUUUUAGUAUUCCGCCUGGGGAGUACGCUCGCAAGAGUG